rnacentral:rRNA from 1 species
AGGACGAACGCUGGCGGCGUGCUUAACACAUGCAAGUCGAGCGGUAAGGCCCUUCGGGGUACACGAGCGGCGAACGGGUGAGUAACACGUGGGUGAUCUGCCUCGCACUCUGGGAUAAGCCUGGGAAACUGGGUCUAAUACCGGAUAUGACCACGAAUCGCAUGGUUUGUGGUGGAAAGGUUUACUGGUGCGAGAUGGGCCCGCGGCCUAUCAGCUUGUUGGUGGGGUAACGGCCUACCAAGGCGACGACGGGUAGCCGGCCUGAGAGGGCGACCGGCCACACUGGGACUGAGACACGGCCCAGACUCCUACGGGAGGCAGCAGUGGGGAAUAUUGCACAAUGGGCGAAAGCCUGAUGCAGCGACGCCGCGUGAGGGAUGACGGCCUUCGGGUUGUAAACCUCUUUCGACAGGGACGAAGCGCAAGUGACGGUACCUGUAGAAGAAGCACCGGCCAACUACGUGCCAGCAGCCGCGGUAAUACGUAGGGUGCGAGCGUUGUCCGGAAUUACUGGGCGUAAAGAGCUUGUAGGCGGUCUGUCGCGUCGAUCGUGAAAACGUGCAGCUCAACUGCGCGCCUGCGGUCGAUACGGGCAGACUAGAGUACUUCAGGGGAGACUGGAAUUCCUGGUGUAGCGGUGAAAUGCGCAGAUAUCAGGAGGAACACCGGUGGCGAAGGCGGG